GACGAACGCUGGCGGCGUGCUUAACACAUGCAAGUCGAACGGAAAGGCCCUGCUUUUGUGGGGUGCUCGAGUGGCGAACGGGUGAGUAACACGUGAGUAACCUGCCCUUGACUUUGGGAUAACUUCAUGAAACUGGGUCUAAUACCGGAUAGGAUCUACUGCUGCAUGGUGGGCGUUGGAAAGUUUCGGCGGUUGGGGAUGGACUCGCGUUGGAUUAGCUAGUUGGUAGGGUAGUAGCCUACCAAGGCGUCCACCCGUAGCUGGUCUGAGAGGAUGAUCAGCCACACUGGGACUGAGACACGGCCCAGACUCCUACGGGAGGCAGCAGUGGGGAAUAUUGGACAAGGGGCGAAAGCCUGAUCCAGCACUGCCGCGUGAGUGAUGAAGGCCUUAGGGUUGUAAAGCUCUUUUACCCGGGAUGAUAAUGACAGUACCGGGAGAAUAAGCUCCGGCUAACUCCGUG
rnacentral:rRNA from 1 species